rnacentral:lncRNA from 1 species
CGCGGAAACCCUCCCCCGCCGGUGCCGGAGACACUCGGCUUUAUAUCUGCAGCAUCAGCGAGAAAGCCCGGCUCGGCGCAGGCUCAGUGCUCACCGCCGCAGUCCCGGACGGAGGAGGGGGGCUCAGGAGCUCAGCAUCUUCGCAGCGGGUUAAGUAGGAUUAAUACCAAAUCCCUGUUAUAUUUGCCAAGCAACUUGAAUUUAUCAAAAUCCCCCCUGGCUGUUCUGGAGCUCCGAGAGGAGGAAAUUUUGCCCACAGUGUAAGAUCCAGACAUACCAGUAUGCAGGAAUACCAGCAUACUGCAUUACACUGGCUCCCUGCACUAGCGAUACAAUUACAAGCCGAAGCUCCCACUGCUCCCUUUCCUUUGUGCUCUUAAACGCAGCCAGAAAACUUAAUGUAUUCGCCAGAAGAGGGGCGGGAUGAAAGCGCUUUUAACCUCCCCGCCAUAAACUUUAAUCGGAUUCCGGGCUGUUGCACGGCAUGGACUCUUCGCCUCUUGUCUGCGUCUCCUUCCCCGUUGUCUCCCAUGCCUACUACUACUACUGCCUGCCUCGCAGAGCUUGAUUCUUCAAGCGAAUAAGUGAUUUCUUUCUCUUGCCUUGUGCACUCUCUCCCCUCCCCUCCCUCCCCUCUCUGGCCUCUCUUACACACACUAUGCCUUUCACAUGCGGUCUGCGCCCCCCUCAGCCCCCCUCCCCUUCUCUCGCUUUUGCAGUGUCUUCACAUGCAAUCUCUCUCUGAAUGUGCAAUGUCUUUCCUGCUCGGGAGUGCUGCGUCCUUCACAGUGGAUUGGUUCCUCUCUCGGAGCAGAGAAUGACUUCUGCUUCAAGAUCUAUACCUCUGCAACUUGUCAGUGAUUAUAACAACUCAUUGACCAAAAGCAGACUGAUCACGGCAGAUACAAAGAGCAUGUAUGCCAGCAUGAAGAAAAAGAUGUUCUGCUUUACUCAGUAAGCAAGAGGAUUUAAAUAUCUCUAAGGUAAGUAGUAAGGCUCCGAUUCUGCAUAUUCUACCACAGUGCUAAAAAUUAUACUUUCAUUGAGGGCAGUUGUAAGGGACUCAUGUGUGAGUAAGUACAGGUUUAGAUUUGAAUUACGUGUAGAGUUUGCUUGUAUGUAGCUUCCAAAUCCAUGUCGAUAAGCUCCAACAGGCUUCCUUCUGGAAUCAAAGCAGCUUUCAGGACCACGUAUAUCACAAUGAGAAUAUUGUAGAGAAAGAAUAUUAUAACUGUGAGAAAUGUUUGAAAAGAUUGACAAAAAACUUUUUGAAAGCUGCAUUAGAAUAUUGCUUAACAUCCAGAUAAAUAUUUACAAGUAAAGAUCUGCCUAGGGAAAUAAAACAGAAAUUAGAGUAAGGAACCA